rnacentral:rRNA from 1 species
UACGUAGGGUGCAAGCGUUAAUCGGAAUUACUGGGCGUAAAGCGUGCGCAGGCGGUUUUGUAAGUCUGAUGUGAAAUCCCCGGGCUCAACCUGGGAAUAGCGUUGGAGACUGCAAGGCUAGAAUCUGGCAGAGGGGGGUAGAAUUCCACGUGUAGCAGUGAAAUGCGUAGAGAUGUGGAGGAACACCGAUGGCGAAGGCAGCCCCCUGGGUCAAGAUUGACGCUCAUGCACGAAAGCGUGGGGAGCAAACAGG